rnacentral:tRNA from 1 species
UCGCGAGAUUCGAACCCAGGACCUACCAGUUACGAGCCAGAGCCCUUAACCGAUAGUCCCAUAAUAG